UUUUGAAUGGCCGCAGUAAUUUGACUGUGCAAAGGUAGCAUAAUCAUUAGUUUUUUAAUUAAAAGCUUGUAUGAAAGGUUGAACGAAGUAAAAUCUGUCUCUAUUUAAUUAAAUUUAGAAUUUAAUUUUUAAGUUAAAAAGCUUAAAUAUUUGUAAAAGACGAGAAGACCCUAUAGAGCUUUAUAAUUUAUUAAAUAUAAUUAUUUAAGAUUAUUUUAAGUUUUAUUAUAUAAAUUAUUUUAUUGGGGUAAUAUAAAGAUUUAAAUAAUUCUUUUUUUUUAUUAACACUAAUUUGUGAUAUAAUGAUCCAUUUUUAUUGAUUAAAAGAUUAAGUUACCUUAGGGAUAACAGCGUAAUUUUUUUAAAGAGUUCAUAUCGAUAAAAAAGUUUGCGACCUCGAUGUUGGAUUAAAGAUUAGUUUAGGUGUAGAAGUUUAAAUUUUUGGUCUGUUCGACCAUUAAAUCUUUACAUGAUCUGAGUUCAGACCGGUGUAAGCCAGGUCGGUUUCUAUCUUUAUUAAAUUUAAAUAUUUCAGUACGAAAGGACCAAAUAUUUAAUAUAUUUAUAUUUUAUUUUUUGAAUAUUAAU
rnacentral:rRNA from 1 species